rnacentral:rRNA from 1 species
UACGAAGGGGGCUAGCGUUGUUCGGAUUUACUGGGCGUAAAGCGCACGUAGGCGGACUAUUAAGUCAGGGGUGAAAUCCCGGGGCUCAACCCCGGAACUGCCUUUGAUACUGGGUAUCUCGAGUCCGAGAGAGGUGAGUGGAAUUCCGAGUGUAGAGGUGAAAUUCGUAGAUAUUCGGAGGAACACCAGUGGCGAAGGCGGCUCACUGGCUCGGUACUGACGCUGAGGUGCGAAAGCGUGGGGAGCAAACAGG